CCUACGGGAGGCAGCAGUGGGGAAUAUUGGACAAUGGGGGAAAGCCUGAUCCAGCGACGCCGCGUGAGUGAAGAAGUCAUUCGUUAUGUAAAGCUCUAUCAGCAGGGAAGAAAAUGACGGUACCUGAGUAAGAAGCUCCGGCUAACUACGUUCCAGCAGCCGCGGGAAUACGUAGGGGGCAAGCGUUAUCCGGAUUUACUGGGUGUAAAGGGAGCGUAGACGGCAGUGCAAGUCUGGUGUGAAAGGCGGGGGCUCAACCGCAGGACUGCACUGGAAACUGUACGGCUGGAGUACAGGAGAGGUAAGCGGAAUUCCUAGUGUAGCGGUGAAAUGCGUAGAUAUUAGGAGGAACACCAGUGGCGAAGGCGGCUUACUGGACUGUAACUGACGUUGAGGCUCGAAAGCGUGGGGAGCAAACAGGAUUAGAUACCCCUGUAGUC
rnacentral:rRNA from 1 species